AACCCACAUCACCUGAUACUGCCGGAGAAGUAUACCACCAUUCAGUCACCUGAUACUGCCAGAGAAGUAUACCCCACAUCACCUGAUAUUGCCGGAGAAGUAUACCCCACAUCACCUGAUAUUGCCGGAGAAGUAUACCCCACCAACAGAGUUGUUACAUCUGGGCUUUUAGCAAUCCCAACUUUGAAUUCCUGUGCAGUGAAAAUUUUCCAUUCUUCAACCCAGUACAAACACAAGCUAUGAGUGACAGCAUUGGUAGGCCAGUGUGGAUGAGUAAUUUCCUGUCAGUAUUCAUCCAAUUGUAACUCAAAUUUGAAAAAAAAAAAGGAAAUGGAGAAAAGGGCUGGUGACAUUGUAGAAAAAGUUGCCCAACAGCCUCCUGCAGGUGCAGCAAAGGAUGCUUCUAGCAAAGAGAUGUAGGAUGUGGCUGCAAGUAGAAACUGACAAGGCAGCGAAGCAUUCUUGUGUAGAUGAUGACAAUGACUGCAUCUCUACAAAAUGAGGGAAAAAAGGUCAACACAGUCAUCAUCAACACUCUGUCAACAGAACUGCUGUCAGAACAAGGGAAAAAAACAGUUUCCAUGCCAAACUAGAACUGGAAUGUCAUGUGCAGUAGACACAGCUUGGCACAAAAGGGGAUUUAACAGUUUAACGUUUCGAGGCGGACAGUUUCCUCAUAUCACACUGAUGGCUGCUGCAGAGCUGAACAGUGGACAGUUUCCUCAUAUCACACUGAUAGCUGCUGCAGAGCUGAACAGUGGACAUUCCUUCAAUACAUACGUUUUACCUAAAACACUGAUCACCUCAACAGCCCAACAAGUUACUGGAAUUGUAAUGUCAGGUAGUAACUGUAUGUCAGUAAAUGGAAUGCCAGUGGAAGCAGAAUUUAAAACUACAUCACUGGAAAAGUUCUGUAAAUGGCUAGAACAGUCAGGUGGCCCGCAAUGGCAGAAGAUUUGACUUUCCAGUUCUGAUGAAAGCAGUAGCCUGUUGUAAAAUUCUUGAGAGCUUUUUUAAAUGUGUGUCUGAAUUUGUUGCUUCUCUAACAGUUUUACGCACACUUUUUCCUGGCAGUUUCUGGUACAAACAAGAUCUUGUCCAGGAAUUUUGAGUGAAAGUUAUGGAGAGUGAAAGCUAUGGAGCACAGAAUGCCACGGAGGAUGUUAAAGCAUUAGGAAAUCUUUGAAAACACUUGUCAAUAUCGCCUAAAACAAUGUUUUCAUUUAAUUAUUCUCCAAAACCUGUACAACAAAUAUUCAGGCCUCAAUCAUUUGAAAAUAAUUGUCAGGCACAAGGGAGAAGAUGGGCACGUACAUUGUUGAUAUAGUGAAGGACAACCAUGUGUUACAAAUUCAAAGAGGGCAUAAGAGACAGUUAUUCUAAACCUUGUGGAGUAUUUAAAAAAUGAUUUUAUCAUACCUCAUAGCUUAUGCUCCAUAUUGUAAUUUUAAAAGAGUAAGAAAUGUUAAAAAAUGAUGUGUCUUGAUCUGUAUGUCAAGUUUUAUGCUUUCAUUUGGUUACCUAUUUUGAACUCUUAGAACAUAUUAUUAUAUUAUGUAUAUGAACAUUUUACUUUAUUAAAAUUUAUUUAUUAACAUUUAUUUUUAUGUACAAGUGUUACAUGCAUUUUUUAUUAAUAGAAGUAAAAAAAAAAUGGGAGUUCUUUGUUUUAAAAUCCAGUGAAUUUAGGUUUUACAGUAUAAAGCUUUUGUUUACAUUUUACCCCUACUCUAAAACAAGAUAUUUUUAGAAAAUCAGAUGGUGAAAAGUAGAUAAUUCUUUGUGUAUUUGUUUCAUACAAUGAUACAAAUAAUUUGUAUUUAGUCACUACACAUUUAAUAUUUAUAACUUAAAAAAAAAAGAAAAAAAAGUUGAGACCAGAAUUUUUUCCUGAAAAUUGCCAACUUUAUGGCUUGGGGGGUAUAGGAGAAAAGUAUUUCAAAAAAAUUCUUGUACAAAUGUAUAUCAUAAAUCUUCAUAUGUAUUUAUUAUGUCUCCCACCACACAGUGGUAUGGGAGACAUAUUGAUUUACUCAAGUCUGUCUGUCUGUCUGUCACAAAGCUUGUCCGCACUCUAAGUCGAACAUUUCUCAUCUGAUCUUCACCAAACUUCAACAAAAUGUGUCUGCCCAUAAGUGCUCAGCCAAGUUUGAUAACUAGCCAAGUUGGCCUAGUAGUUUAGGCGUCCUUUUGGUGUCAAGAAAGCGCAUGCACAUGUGGAUUAAGUAAACAGUAUAUAAAGACUGACUUGCUAUUAGAUGAUUAGGCAGUUGUGGGAGACAUGUGUUUUUCUUAAAAGCAUCUCUAGUUUAACAUUGUUUAAGUAGUGAACUUACACUGAAACUGUUGUAUUUUGAUGAAUUUGAAAAAAAAUAAGAAUUUCACAUAGUUUAUUUCAUUUUAUCAGUGAAAUUGGCAUAUAAGGAGUUGUGCUCUUUAUGAUUUUAUAACUUUUUUUUGAAUGGUUAAAAUCAUUUAAAAUUUUAGAAAUAAUUCACCCAAGUGAUACAGAUAAUAAAAAUAAAAAGCUUGGUCUGAUUUGAAAUGUGACCAUUUAGGGUCAUAAAUCCUUCGUUAACUCAUUUUGGAUAUGUCUGUACACGAUGCUGCAUGGAACCUAUGACACUGUUGCAGACAGUGUCCUCUAACCUGCCCUUCCAUGAUUCUAGCUACUUUAAAUUACAUUUCUUGUUUAUUUUGCUACAGUACAUUUUAUAGCUUUAAAUUGUGCAAACUAUAGCAAAAAAAUGAUUUUGGGCACACAAACUUUCAAGUAAAACAACAUUUAAAACAAAAAUUGCAUGUGUCAAGAGUAUAAACAUAAUUAAAAACUGUAAUAUUUGUCAGAAAUAACUGUUGAAGUAUCCUGAAUUUUUUUUUUCAGUUUGUAAUCAGCACAAGGUGAAAGCUCUUUACUAGUGAUCUCUGUGUAACUAAGUUCUCUUAUGUACAGUGAUAAAUAUGAACUUUCCAAGUUCUAGCUGCCAAGUCUUGAAAUUUUGAAAUCGAGUUAUUUCAGUAAUAAUGAACUUGUCCAUCUUUCAAUAUGGACAGUAAGUAUUGUAAAUGGUUUAUUUCCUGAUGCUUUCAAAGAGGCUUAUGUUCUCCCAAUAUUCAAAGGUGGGGAUAAAGAAGACCCAAAUAACUACAGGCCAAUAUCUAUUUUGCCUAAAAUUUCCAUUUCUUCUUAAAGAAAACUUAACAUCAUUCACAAAACUCAAUCAUACAGCACUAACUACCAGUAGACUAAUAGAAGCAUAGCUUUCAAAUAUAGAUUCUGGUAAAUACGUUGGAACUGUUUUAUGUUUUUAGAUCUAUGAAAAGCUUUUGAUCUCGGUGACUAUAACUUUUAUUGCAUAAACUGAAACUAUCAUUUUUAGAUCAAAGUUUUGAAUUUUUCAAAUCAUAUCUAUAAAACUGAACUCAAAUGAUAAAAGCGAGAAACUCCAAAUCUAAAAGUAUGCUUGUAACCUCUGGAGUUCCUCAAGGUUCAAUUCUUGACCCACUUUUAUUUUUACAACAUAAACAAUGAUGUCGCUUUAGCUUCAGAGUGGCAAUAUAGACCUCUAUGCUGAUGACUGCUAAAAAUCAGAUUAUGAUUUAGAUAAAGUGCAAACUAAACUCCAGCAGAAUUUAGAUGUUGUGCAACAAGGGUGCAAUUUAAACAAUAUAUGUCACUUCAUCCAAAGAAAACAAAAUGCAUGGUUUUGUUUACUAAACAAAAAAGUAACCAUUGUAAGAACUAUUUUUAUGUAUUUCCAAGCAAGUAACAUAAAAUGUCAAGGUGCAGAAAUUACAUGGUGUUUAUAUAGACAACACAUUGUCAUGUAAUGUUUAAAUUGAAACAGUUUGCACUAAACUUGACUCAAAAAUAGCAUUGUUGAGACGUAUAUUGUACUAUUGUAUUAGAUCUAUAUGACAGAUGAAAUGGAAAAAAUUAUUCUAUAAUGCAUAAUUAUGUGAUGUCAGUAUUUGAUUAUUGUUGUAUUGUAUGGUGUCAAGAAAAUAAGAGUUCUUUAAAGAAAAUGAAAAUUUAAGGUAGAGCUGCAAAAAAUUAUUUUGAAUAAAACGUUCCAAACAAGAACAUAAGAUAUGCGAGAAGAACUUGGGUGGAUGUCAUUUAAUGAAAGAUGUAACUUUCACACAAGUUGUCUUAUUUAUAAAGCUUGCAACAAUUUAGCACCCUCAUAUAUCUCUGAAAUUUUAACCUUUUUCCAGCAAUGAAACAUACAGUCCAAGAUCUGCUGCUCAUAAUGACAUAGUUGUACCUUGACAUCAUACAAAUUAUGGUAAAAAAACCCUUUUGUUACAAUGGUGCAAAUGUUAGGAAUUCAAUACCAAAUGAAAUUUGCUCAACAUGUUUUCUAACAUAUUUUUAAAUACUAGAAAUAUAUUAAGUAUAUCUUGCAUUUGGCUGCCUUAAGAAUCUCUUUGUUUAUAUCAACUGAAUUAUAACUAUGCCAUUAUAAUAUAAUUAUGCAUGUAUAUAUUAUGUUACUAAUUGAUUGCCUAAAUGGAAAUUGUAUAUCUAUUUUAAGGGGUGUUUGUCUAAGAAUGAAUGUGAUAUUAAUUAGCAUAUGUGAUAGUGUAAAUUUUAUUUGGUGGUUGCUGUUGUUUAGAAGGCCACAUUAAAAAGUAAGAAGUAUCAUUUGUACUUUUCACUGAUCUUUAUCUUCAUUUGCUUCAAUCUAUAGAUAAAGAUGUUAUUAUUAUAACAGGAAACAAUCCAUAUUUUAUCUUGCUUACUUAUGCCUUAAACUGUAAUAUUAUUCUGUCAAGCAUAUUUAGGGUGUGUGUCAUACAAUGUGUUUCGCAUUGUUUCAAGUAUUUUUUCUGUAUGCAUGUCAAAUACACAUCAGAUUGCAACAUUUAAGGGUGUUCUUACUAAACAUACUCAGAGUGGGCAUGCCCCUCACCCCUCUAACACUUUAGCACACCAACCAAACCAAAAUUCCGGAUCUACCCUUGAAAAUUACAAACUUUGAGGCAGCUAGUUUUCACGUAUAAUAACCUGUGUGAUUGUUCAGGCAAAUUCUUUCAACUUCAUUACAAAAGCAAGGUUUAAUUUUAGUCAAUUUCUAAAUCUAAAGAAAGUGUUAAUUCUUUGUUCAUAGCAUGUUUUUCAGUACUGAGUAGUUCAGUAAAAUCUAAUGGAAGUUGUUCAUAGUCAAAGAAAAAAUAUUUGUGAAAUUUUAGAGCAAUGUUCUGAAUUACUUAUCAUAGCCAGAAGUCAGGAAUUUAAUUAUUGGUGAAUUUUUUUAACUUUUUCUACAGUUUGAAGGGAAAUGCUUCAGGGUCUAUUUUCUACUUUGCUGAAAUCUGGACAUCUAUUUGUCAGUUGUGUUUCAAGUGUCAUAGAUGAUGGGAAAAAAUAGAUCCUGUUUUGCCAAAUAUAGAAUUAAUGCUCAUUAACUAGAAAUAGAAGUAGGCAGAUACAGUAAACCUCCUUAGUGUAAAAACUUUCCGCUACUAUCAGAUUCUGGUAUGAACAAACUUAUAUUUCUUCUAAGUAAUGAUGUGUCCAUUUUAUACCUGUUAGCCAGAUUUAUAUACGACUGUUUUUGUCUUAGACAUAGCAAUGAAUCCUAUUAAAUCAUUCCAUUCUCAUAGUUUUCCUCAUGUCUUUAAUGUAUAUGAUUCCUUGAUAUUACUAGCCAUUAUGUAAUAUUGUACUAGUCAUAAUAUUAUAUUCUGUUAUAUAACUAGUCCUAAUAGUAUAUUAUAAUUUUCUGCCAGUAUCACAUUACUGUUUUUUAUUACUAUUAUAUUCUUUUUCUGUUGAUUUGUAGUGUUUGAAACUUUGUGUAUAUAUCAAAAUUGUCAUGCCCGAGAGGGCCCGAAACUGAAAAUAAAAGAUAUUCUAAACUGUGAGAAACUGAAGGCCUAUCAAGGGUUACAAAUGUAAAGAGGAUACUGGAGGUAGAUGUCAUUCCAAAAUUGGCAUCAUUUUCAACUAAUGAUUACAUGAACUGAAGUGGGUGGAGUAUGGGACAGAUGACAGUUUCAUUUCAAAAAUUUCAAAAUCAGAACAAUAAUGUUCUUCUCUUGAUGUUUUUUUUUUUUUUUUUUUUUUUUUUAACUUACUUUUCUUGUGGCACUGCUUUCAUUUUAAUUCUCUUCUUAUCUAAUUAGUUAUGUAUAAUUCAUAUGACAAUUUUGUCAAAAAAAAAAUUUUUCUUCUUAUUUGUUAUCGUUUUUUCUUUCUAUUCAUUUUUAUCUCCCUUCAUGUCUUAUCAAUAAGUGUAACAGCCUUGCAAUGUUCGCAUUUUUGUAUCAAGUGUUAUUAUGUUUACUUUAGUUUAUAUCGGUUAUUACAUAUGUGACAUAAUAACAAUAUUAUUUCCUUAAAUGUAAUCCAACGCUUUCCCGUAUUUUUCUCACAAAAGAGUUUUUAGGGUUUUAGUGCGCGGAUUACAAAUAACAUUUAUUCUUUCACCACUUGUACAUAAUUUUAUCUUAUCUUAAUCUCUGUUCAUUGUACUACAUAAGAAUUAAUUUGUUCAUAAUACAUUAUUUUUAUUCAUGUCUUUCAAUUCACUGUAUAUAUUAGGAUGAUUUUUUACAUUAUUAUGUUAGACGACCAUAUGUUAGCCUGGCUAUAGCCAAAUAUGUUAUCCUCUUUAGAUAAAGUUAUUAUUAUUACCCAUAAAAUAUGAAUGUCUCGGUCUUGUUAUAUUGUGGCUUGAAACUUUUAAGAAGUAAAAUUAAAUGUACUUGAAACUUGUUAUACUUUAUGCUCUCGUGAUGCAAAUAGUAUAUUGUUCUCAUAUUUUGUCUAUGAAAUUUCUGUAAGUAAACGUUAAACAUUA